UGAGCAAUUUCCUUCAGUGCGUGUAUGUGU
rnacentral:piRNA from 1 species